rnacentral:lncRNA from 1 species
GAAAGAAGUAAAUGUCUUUAUUUGCAGAUGACAUGAUAAUGUAGAAAAUCUCAAGGAAGACACACACGGACAUUUUUUUAAAAAAUGAUAAAACUAACAGAUUGAAUUUAGACAGGUCACAGGAUAUAAGAUCAAUAAACAAAAAUCAAUGGUAUUUCUAUAUACUAGCACCAAAAAGUCUGAAAACAAAAUUCAGCAAGCAAUUCCAUUCGUAAUAGCAAAGUAAUAUGAACAUUUUAACAAAAGGAGUGUAAGAUGUAUAUACUGAAAAUAACAAAAUAUUGCUAAGAGAAAUCAAGGAAUAUCUAAAUAAAUGGACACAAACUCCAUGUUCACAGACUGGAAGACUUCAUAUUGUCAAGAUGGCAAUUCUCAACUUGAUCUGUAAAUUAAACACAAUAUAUAUUUAAAACCUCAGAAGGCUUUUCUGUAGUAACUGACAAUCUGAUCAUAAAAGUGACAUGGGAAUGCAAAGUAUCUAGAAAAGUCAAAAGAAUUUUGAAAAAUAACAAAGUUGGAGGUGUUACAUUACCUGAUUUAAUGACUUACAAAUACUUUAAAGCCAGAGUCAUCAAUAACACACAAUCAUGGACAGGCACAGAUCAAUGGAACAGAACUAAGAGUUUAGAAAUAAACCCUUAUAUUUAUGCCCAAUUGAUUUAGACAAAGGUAUCAAAGCAAUUCAAUGGGGAAAAGAUACUCUACAACAAAUGGUGCUUGGACAAAUGGAAAUCGGUCCAUGAAAAGAUGAAUUUAGACUCUUCCCUUACACCAUGCCCAAAAAUGAACACAAAGUGGAUCACAUACCUACAUGUAAGAAUAAAACAAGAAGACUUCAAAAAGUUCUUAAGAUACGACACCAAAGGCAUGAUCCAUAAAAGAAACAACUGAUAAACUAAACUUCAUCAAAGUAAAAAACUUUUACAAUUCAACCACCACCACUAAGAAAAUGAAAAGAGCCCUUGUUAGUAUAGUGGUGAGUAAAAAAAAAAAAAAGAGAAAGGGCUGGGCGUGGUGGCUCACGCCUGUAAUCCCAGCACUUCGGGAGGCCGAGGAGGGCAGAUCACGAGGUCAGGAGAUCAAGACCAUCCUGUCCAACAUGGUGAAACCCCGUCUUUACUAAAAAUACAAAAAUUAGCCAGGCGUGGUGGCGGGCACGUGUAGUCCCACUACUCAGGAGGCUGAGGCAGGAGAAUUGCUUGAACCUGGGAGGUGGAGGUUGCAGUGAGCCAAGACCACACCACUGCACUCCAGCCUGGCGACAGAGUAAGACUGUCUCAAAAAAAAAAAAAAAAAAAAAAAAAAAAAAAAAGAGAGAGAGAGAAAGAAAGAAAAUGAAAAUAAAGACAAGCUAAGACUGGGAUAAAACAUUUGCAAAUAAUAUAUUUGAUAAAUAAAGGAUUUGUAUCCAGAAUAUGUAAAACUUUCUUACAAUUCAUUAAUAAGACAUGUGAACCAAUUUAAAAAUGGGCAAUAAUUGAAUAGAUAUUUCACUAAAGAUAUACAAAUGGUUAACAAUCGCAUGAAGAUGCUCAAAAUCAUUAGUUGUCAGAGAAAUGCAAAUGAACCAUAAUGAGAUGCCACUUUGCAUCCACUAGAAUGGCUACAACAAAACAGAAAAGUCCAAGUGCCGACAAGAAUGUGGAGGAACCUGAACCAUUCAUUAUACAUUGCUGGUGGAAAUGUAAAGAGGGACAGCCACUUUGGAAAAGCUUGGCAAUUUCUUAAAAAGUUAAACCUAAACCUACUAUAUGAUCCCAGCAGUUUCACUCCUAGGAUCUACCCAAGAGGAAUGAAAAUAUAUGUCUAACAAAGACUUAUAAAUGAAUGUUCAUAGCCGUAUUAUUCAUAAUAGCCCCAAAUUGGAAACAAUCUAAACAUUUAUCAAUCGGUGAAUGAACAAAAUAUGGUAUAAGUGGAAUACAACUUAAAAACAAUAAAAGGAACUAUUGGUACAUUCUACAAUAUGAAUGAACUAAAUUAUUCUAAAGUAGGAAGCCAGACACAGAAGGCCACAUAUUAUAUGAUUCCACUUAUGUGAAAUGUCCAGAAUAGGAAAAUCUAUAGAGACAAAAUAAAAUAGUGGUUGCCUGAUGAUGCAGGUGAAAAGGGGAACUGCAAAAGGGAUUAACUGAGUGAUGAAAAUAAGGGAAGCAUGAUUAGGUGACAUUUGAAUGUGGAUAUACCUGAUUGUCCCUAAAUUCUUCAAGAAGCUAUUGUUCAGCCUCUUCUUCAUGUCCAUUGUUGUGUCUACAGUAAUGGAGAGUCUCACAGAGCUCACCACGUAGCAGGUAAAACAGGUAAACAGGUCACUGCAUGGUAGAAUAUGGCCAAGGGCCAGCACAGCAGAUGGAGGAGGAGUGCCACGCUGACCAGAGAUGUUUUCAUGAAGGUAACAUCUAAACUGAGAUCCUGAAGACCGCUGCUGGGCAGCUGAGAGGAAGUGUCAGUAUCUCAGUGACAUUCUAUGUCAUGCUAUGAAGUUUAGGUUUUAUGAACUGCAGAACUAAGCUGCAGUAAGCAAUGUUGUGUACUGUUAGGUUAUUGUGAGUAGCAAUAAAAAGCAGCAGUGCUGGACUUUGGGGUGAAAUGGAGUGGGCUCUGCUGUUGGUCAUGAGGGGGAAAGGAGUCCAAAUAACAAAAACAAAGAAAGAAAGAAAAAAGAAAUGGAAAGUCAAGCAGAUGAAUCCAGUUUGACUUAGCAGUCCACUCUUCACCUAUGGGGCUCUUUGGCUCUGGUCAAGGGGGCAUAGAUUACAUGGAAAGGGCUGCUACUACUUUACAAGCAACAGGCCUUUCUCCCAGAGGGCAGAGUUCCCAGAUAGUCUGGCUAUCUCUUUCAGCAUGAAGGCACCUGCUUCUUCACUCUUCCCCUUGCUGCCCAGUCUGCUUUUCCAAGGUCUAUGACUGUUGGGAGGAAUGCUGCUCCCUUCACAGGUGGAAGACACUGCUGUCCUUAGGCAGACUGGACUGUGAGUGUGGAGAUCUGGUCUCAAUUUCUCACAAUGCCACUGGUUAGCUGGAGUCAGGUCAAUUACUUGGCCAUUCUGAGGCAGUUUCCUUAUGCUAAAAUGUUACCUGCUCCGUGGGGAUUACUGAGGACCAUGUGAGAUUCAACUGAUAAGAGUGUUUAUAUGUAAGACAUGUCCUGGUGGGGUGUGUGUGGGAGUGAUAUGCCUUCCAAAAACUUAAAAAAAUUAAGUUGCCAUCCAGGAGUCCAAUGGACAAGAUUGAUCACAAGCUGACUUUUGGAAAAGUGUGACUGAAGAGUUUCCCAACAGGCAAAACCACACUAACCACAGUGUAAUCUUGGAAGAGCAGAUCUGGAAUGCGGCUGUAUUUGGGGAAGUGAAACUGAAGAUGGGAGUAUAGUUCUCACACUGAAGAGCAUGCAAAUCACCAAGGAAACUUGCUCACGCCAGAAUGCUGAGCUGCACCCCAGCCCUAGGGAACCUGUCUCUAGAGAGGGACUUAGGAACGGAUCUGUGGUUUAAACAUUUUCCAGUGACUUUUAUGUGCACCAAAGUUAAAGCACCUCUCGCCUAGAGCAUAAAAAAGGAGCUGGAGAUGCUGAUUCCAGGCAGUCAACAGGCAGCCACAUUCCACUGGGAAACUCUGGAGUUUUAGGGCAGUGAAUGGAGAAAAGGGGAAAUCCGAGAGUAGGGGCGAUCAGGACAGGCACCAAUAUGCAGUCCCAAAGUGCAAAUGAAGUCUUUGCAUAUUUUUCACCAGAAGUGACUCUCAUAAAAUAAAUCUCUCCAAAGACUACUUUUGCUGUACAUCUGGCUUUUCCCUUAUAUUCACAGAAAUAUUCCCAUUUUGUCCAAUAUAUUUUUUUCAGUGAAUCACAAUUAAAAAACAAACAUGUACUUCUAAUAUCUGAGAAAUAAACCAAGAAAGGACAAGAGCUAUUAGGAGUGUUCUCUUUAUUUCUCUUUGGUUUCUUAACACAAAAGACAUGCAUUCUAUAAAUAAAAGGAAC